rnacentral:lncRNA from 1 species
UUAGUUAGACACAGCGCUGAAACUGCGGCGACGGCAUGUAGUCUGCGGAGCCUCGGGGCCAGCUCCAGACCCCGGCAGCGCGCGCAUCCUGACCGCGACCCCGAGCAAGGUCCUCCAGAGGAGCCGCGCUUGGCCGCUGUUAACACAGAGCACACCCUUAGCCGGCGACUGGAAGCCAGCUCACAAGCCCGCGUCCCCAGCACCCCCGGAACAGCGCCUGGCCCCCUCCGGCUGCAGCGCCGACUGCUGCGGGACGGGGAAGAUUUCGAGAAGGAACUGGAAAGAAGCCAGCAAAGCAGAUACGCCGAGGAAAAGCAGGACAGGAGGGCUGUGCGGAACCCCCGCGCUCCCAGCUCAGCCGGGGGAGGGGGUGCAGAGAAAAGCAGAUCCCUCUGUACCACGGAAACCCCGACAGGGUCACGGGACACUCAGCGGACGCAGCUGAGCAUCUGAUGACUCUGAUCGCAGCUGGGCCUGGACGGUGCACACGCCAGCGGCCACGCACCUCUCCCUGCGCCUGGGUGUCUAAUCCCUCCCCCGCCCCAGUCUCCACAAUCUUCUCUGCCCCACGUCACCUCUGAAGAAAUAAAAGUAUUUUCCUCAAAAGGUAGGAAACGAUUGCUGCACUGAAAAACAACAAAAAAGGAUUUUCU